AACACCUCAAAGCUUUUGAUUUUUAUUAAAAGUUUUGGACUUGAGCAAUCCCAACACCGGUCUUUUACAGAUCGGCGGCGGGUUGCUUGAAAUGCAGGUGCAGCUGGACAUUCUCCUGAGCUAAAAGCAUAUUUAUUUAGUCCCGUCAAACGGAUUAUUACUUUUGCUGCAGCUAAUAUAAAGGGAGUUUGACCGUAUUGGCUGACUGAUGCAGGAUUUCACAAGGGUCGGCAACGAUUCUUGUAAA
rnacentral:misc_RNA from 1 species